UCGAAGCAACGCGAAGAACCUUACCAGGUCUUGACAUCCUUUGACCACUCUAGAGAUAGAGCUUCCCCUUCGGGGGCAAAGUGACAGGUGGUGCAUGGUUGUCGUCAGCUCGUGUCGUGAGAUGUUGGGUUAAGUCCCGCAACGAGCGCAACCCUUAUUGUUAGUUGCCAUCAUUCAGUUGGGCACUCUAGCAAGACUGCCGGUGACAAACCGGAGGAAGGUGGGGAUGACGUCAAAUCAUCAUGCCCCUUAUGACCUGGGCUACACACGUGCUACAAUGGGAAGUACAACGAGUUGCGAAGUCGCGAGGCUAAGCUAAUCUCUUAAAGCUUCUCUCAGUUCGGAUUGCAGGCUGCAACUCGCCUGCAUGAAGCCGGAAUCGCUAGUAAUCGCGGAUCAGCACGCCGCGGUGAAUACGUUCCCGGGCCUUGUACACACCGCCCGUCACACCAUGGGAGUGGGUUGCAAAAGAAGUAGGUAGCUUAACCUUCGGGAGGGCGCUUACCACCUUGUGAUUCAUGACUGGGGUGAAGUCGUAACAAGGUAACCG
rnacentral:rRNA from 1 species